rnacentral:tRNA from 1 species
GCCUCGCUGGCUCAGUUGGUAGAGCAUGGGACUGUUAAUCUAGGGUUUGUGGGUUCGAGCUCCAUGCUGGGCG